rnacentral:lncRNA from 1 species
GUGACAGUGGGACAGCCACAUGCCUCAGAUUGAUGUUGGUACAGAUACUUUCAUGUUGUGCUUACUCCUUUAAAGCUUUCUUGCUUAGUUCCUGUUUUCCCUAGGAAAGGCAAUGACAGAAUUAUUCUUUAAAUGUACAUUCUAAAUGAGAAUGAGCCUGGGGAGAAAGUAGUAACCCUGUGUUCUUUUCCAGUCCUGGGCUCAUGCCCUAGGAGCAUGCAGUGAGAAGAAACAGAAGAACUGAAAUCUCAGCAGAAGAAUUAAAAACAAAGCAAUCAAUCUCUGCACUGUCUUUUACCACUUCUGCAGAGCUUAAAGAUUUUUAUCAGACUAAAACUUUCAGAUAUUUGAGAAGUUUAUUUCAACCAAGGUCUGCAAAAUUUGCCUCAUCAUAAAAUGUGAUCACAGAGACUUCCUGAGGUCCUGAAACACCCGUGUCCUAUAGCAGUGCUGCUCACACUUGCCUAAUGAGAACAAUUGCCAAGGGAGGUUGCUAGAUGCAUAUUCCUGAACCCCAAUCCAAACCUAGUAACAGAGCCAAGUUCUUCAUUAGCCACGAAUAUCCUCAAAAACCUACGGGUAAUAACCUUUAUAUCUUCUACUGUGAGCAUGAUGGAGGUUGACAUUGUGAAGUUUAUGGAAAUACGUGAAAGGCGAAAAGUAAUUUACUCUAAUAAGGCAUUCAGGAAGCAAUUACCUUUUCAAAUACUAUUAAUAGGAAGCAAGUUGAAAAUGGAGGAUGCAAUGAUACUAGAACUGAGGUUUUUGAAUUGGAUCACUUACUGCACAACUGGGAAUGAGAACCACAUAUCGAGUGAACUGUGAGUUAUGGAUAGUCCCCAGCUCAAGCUUGAGGUCCAACUGCUAACAUUUCGCCAUGUCACUGGUGCAAUGACUCAGGUUAUUAAAAAUGCAGAGAAAACAAUGCAUACAAGGUAAAAAAUGGAAUUUGUUAUUAAAUUUCAUUGCUAACCUGCUGAAAGAUACUGAAAAGCUAAAAACUGUGAAUACUUGAAAACUAAGUGUAAAAGCCAG